rnacentral:lncRNA from 1 species
UAAUUUCGGAGUUGUGCUGGAGAGUGGCUCACUCGUAGACAAAUCGCUGAGAUUGCAAUACAUCGUAACUGAGAUUGGAUUCCAUGACGUCUGACGCCGAAUCAUGAAGUCAAAAAUGUUGAGUAUGGGAAGACACAAUAAGUCGAACGUGUGCAGAUUUCGAAAAACUUACAGACAAAGCUCUGUGGGUUCAAACUGUAGCGGCAAAGCUAUAUGAGUAAACUAAACCACAGAGCUUAGCAAAACACGUUUCAUUUCAACGGUUAAUCUUGACCAACUAAACUUCCACAUGUCAGUGUUCCACUGUUGAAUUCUUUUUCGUUUUGAUAAGCUUUUCACUGAUUUCAAUGGAUUCGUUCUAAAGCAAACUAGUCAACCACAUGCAGGAAUGGAAAUUCUAUAUGUAUAAAUAAAUUAGUACAGAAAGAAAGAGAGAACUGUUGACCCUACAUCCCCAAUUGAUAUUGCCACACCCCACAUGACACCCUCCCUGUAGACACACCACAUGACACCCUCCCUGUAGACACACCACAUGACACCCUCCCUGU